GACGAACGCUGGCGGCGUGCUUAACACAUGCAAGUCGAACGGAAGGCCCUGCUUUUGUGGGGUGCUCGAGUGGCGAACGGGUGAGUAACACGUGAGUAACCUGCCCUUGACUUUGGGAUAACUUCAGGAAACUGGGGCUAAUACCGGAUAGGAGCUCCUGCUGCAUGGUGGGGGUUGGAAAGUUUCGGCGGUUGGGGAUGGACUCGCGGCUUAUCAGCUUGUUGGUGGGGUAGUGGCUUACCAAGGCUUUGACGGGUAGCCGGCCUGAGAGGGUGACCGGCCACAUUGGGACUGAGAUACGGCCCAGACUCCUACGGGAGGCAGCAGUGGGGAAUAUUGCACAAUGGGCGGAAGCCUGAUGCAGCAACGCCGCGUGCGGGAUGAUGGCCUUCGGGUUGUAAACCGCUUUCGCCUGUGACGAAGCGUGAGUGACGGUAAUGGGUAAAGAAGCACCGGCUAACUACGUG
rnacentral:rRNA from 1 species